CCUACGGGGUGCAGCAGUGGGGAAUAUUGCACAAUGGGGGAAACCCUGAUGCAGCGACGCCGCGUGAGCGAUGAAGUAUUUCGGUAUGUAAAGCUCUAUCAGCAGGGAAGAAAAUGACGGUACCUGACUAAGAAGCCCCGGCUAACUACGUGCCAGCAGCCGCGGUAAUACGUAGGGGGCAAGCGUUAUCCGGAUUUACUGGGUGUAAAGGGAGCGUAGACGGCUGUGCAAGCCAGAUGUGAAAGCCCGGGGCUCAACCCCGGGACUGCAUUUGGAACUGUGUGGCUGGAGUGUCGGAGAGGCAGGCGGAAUGCCUGGUGUAGCGGUGAAAUGCGUAGAUAUUAGGAGGAACACCAGUGGCGAAGGCGGCAUGCUGGACGAUGACUGACGUUGAGGCUCGAAAGCGUGGGGAGCAAACAGGAUUAGAUACCCUUGUAGUC
rnacentral:rRNA from 1 species